GGGGCUCCUGCGUCGGGCCGGGGACUUCAUCCGGAACCAGGUGGAUUUCUCCUUCCUCACCCGGGCUCUGCCCCAGCUCCUGGGCAAGAUCUACAGGCACCUCUUCCCUGCCCGUGUCCGUAGGGACGCCCCAGGUACCCACCCGCCCCGGCUGUGCCACCCCGUGGCCCUGUGGGGACGCGCCACCCUCGUGCUGGUGGCUCAGGCACCCCUACGCCGUGUCCCUCCUGUCCCCUUCUUGUCCCCACAGACGUGGCUGUGGGAGGGGGGCAGCCUAACCCCAAAGCAGAGGGACCCUGGAGACCCCCCACCAGGCAGGGGGCCGGGCAGCCGCCCCCAUUUGCGGGGCUCUUUGGGGCCGUGGGGCCCCAGCUGCAGGACUGGGUGCAGGCGCUGAGGGCUAUGGAUGGGGGCAGCCCCCUGGAACCCACCCCAGAUGGGCAGCGGCUCCCCGGGGAGACGUGGCUCUUCUUGCAGCAGGGUGAGGAGGAGGUGGAGGAGCUGGUGGGACAGGGCAGAGCUUUCCUCGCCCAGCUCCGGGCAGAGCUGGACCUCGACACCCCCCUGGAAGCCACGCAGCAGCAGCAGGCACCCGGAGAGCCAUCGGGGACCCCGACACCAAACCGGUUGGUGCCGAGGGAGAAACGUGAGCUGGUGCCCACACAGCCUGGGCUGGAGGAGGAGGAGGAAGAAGAGGAAGAGGAGGAAGAGGAGGAGGAGGCAGGUGAGGGAAGAGGUAAGCACCCCCCAGCCCCCAGGUGCUGCGGGAUGCCACCGGGAUGCCGGAGAUGGCAAACCCAGCCUGGGCUUUGCACCCUGGGGCUGGUGACAGCGCGGUGCCCCCACCCACCCCCUGACCCUAUUUCCAUCUCUCUCCUGUCCCCCCCCCGGGGGCUUGCAGCCUGCCCUGGCCUCAACGCCUCGGCGCUGCGGGUGGGCGCGGUGCAGGAGCUUUACGCCUGGGUGCUGCGGGUGCCGGAGCCGGACCUGGCCAUGACCUUCCAGGAGGUGCGUGGGGCAGCCACCCCCCCCGGCGC
rnacentral:lncRNA from 1 species